GAUGAACGCUGACAGAAUGCUUAACACAUCAGCAAUUGAUUGGUGGCGGACGGGUGAGUAACGCGUGUAGAACUUGCCUCACAGCUGGGGACAACAUUUAGAAAUGAAUGCUAAUACCUGAUACUGUGAGAGAGCUUUGCGUCCCAUUAGCUAGUUGGAGAGGUAACAGCUCACCAAGGCGAUGAUGGGUAGCCGGCCUGAGAGGGUGAACGGCCACAAGGGGACUGAGAAACGGCCAUUACGCCUACGGGAGGAAGAGGUGGGGAAUAUGGGACAAUGGACCGAAGUCUGAUCCAGCAAUUCGGUGUGCACGAUGAAGUUGUCGGAAUGUAAAGUGCUUUCAGUUGGGAAGCGGUACCAACAGAAGAAGUGACGGCUAAAUACGUGCCAGCCGCCGCGGUAAUUC
rnacentral:rRNA from 1 species